GCUCUUUCCCCGCGCCGAUACUGUCCCUAUAUUCGUCGGUGCCGCUCGCAAGAACGGCUAUGGCGAUAAACGGAUUUCGGAAUAAGCCUUUCGGACCCGGGGGCGGUACCCGGCGCCUCCACCCCAGCCCUGCGGCGCGAGCAGCAGGAACUUGCAGCCCGACGGUUGCAGGGCUGCGGCGGGGGCGAAAUAGGAUCGACGAGGGUGUAAAGGUCUUCCUUUUGCUCGGCAUGGUUCCGCCGUUAUCGGGCCAAAAGCAUAGUUGCCAACGACAACAAUGCUCGGGUUGCUGUCGCCGCGUAAGCGGUGCUGGUUCCCAAACCAAAGUCCUUGCGUUUAGCCGCGUAAGGCGGGGCUCGGAGGCGCCUGGCAACAGAAGCCUCCACU
rnacentral:tmRNA from 1 species